AGUCGGGAAUCUUGGGCAAUGGGCGAAAGCCUGACCCAGCAACGCCGCGUGAGGGAUGAAGUCCUUCGGGAUGUAAACCUCGUAAGCAUGGGAAGAAUAAAUGACGGUACCAUGCGUAAGCCCCGGCUAACUACGUGCCAGCAGCCGCGGUAAUACGUAGGGGGCUAGCGUUGUUCGGAUUUACUGGGCGUAAAGCGCGUGUAGGCGGUACAUUAAGUCAGCUGUUAAAUUCCCGAGCUUAACUCGGGAAAGUCGGCUGAUACUGAUGUGCUAGAGUGCAGAAGAGGCAACUGGAAUUCUCGGUGUAGCGGUGAAAUGCGUAGAUAUCGAGAGGAACACCGGAGGCGAAGGCGAGUUGCUGGUCUGACACUGACGCUGAGACGCGAAAGCUAGGGGAGCAAA
rnacentral:rRNA from 1 species